rnacentral:rRNA from 1 species
UACGUAGGUGGCAAGCGUUGUCCGGAAUUAUUGGGCGUAAAGCGCGCGCAGGUGGUUUCUUAAGUCUGAUGUGAAAGCCCCCGGCUCAACCGGGGAGGGUCAUUGGAAACUGGGAAACUUGAGUGCAGAAGAGGAUAGUGGAAUUCCAAGUGUAGCGGUGAAAUGCGUAGAGAUUUGGAGGAACACCAGUGGCGAAGGUGACUGUCUGGUCUGUAACUGACACUGAGGCGCGAAAGCGUGGGGAGCAAACAGG